rnacentral:lncRNA from 1 species
GUUUGCCUUUACACAGAGGGAUAAAACCUUUGAGAUGAAGGAUGGAGAUCUUCAUUGCAAGUGCACCCAGAUCAAAGACUCUCCACACCUGGUCAGAACACCUGAGAUAAACACGACAUUGUGUGCCACACUUGCAUCCAAAUGAGCUUUUGCCCGCCAUAUCACCCUCAAAUGAAUGGGUUGGUGGAGCGUCUGAAUGAAACCAUUCAAAGGACCCUCCGCAAAUUUUUUAUAGUCCAUAAUGUUUGGGCUGAGGGCCAAGAAGCAGAUGACAAAUGGGUACUCUCUGUCCUUCCUCCUCUUUGGGAAAGAGGCGAGAUACCUUGCAUAUUUCAGGAGGUGUGUGUCAGGCUUUGAAGACAUCCUGGCCGAGGAGAGUCUAUGAAAGGCUGAGGAGAUUACUGCAAUUUUUCUCAGAAAUGUGGCAAAAGCCCAGGAGAAAACGAGGAUGCAAAAACUAGCUGAAGGGGACUAUGUUGUUUUUAAGGUCGGCGACAAGGUCCUAUGAAGAAACAUCAAGAGCCAUCAGAGGAAAGGAUGCAAACUGGAGAUGGAAAACCUGGGCCCAUACACAGUCACAAACAUUGAGGGGAAGAGUGUUGACAUCAGGAAGGAUUUGGAUAGGCAGCUCUUCCCCAAGAUAAACCUGGACCAUCUAGUGCCGUUUCAGGUGGAAGAGGAGAAGAUUCCUCGGAAACUCUGGUGCCUCCUGGUCUCGGCUAGUCCACCUCCCGGCCUUCCUCUCCCCUACGUCCCGCCUGUCUCCUCGGGACCACCUCCCCCUCCGGCCCUCCUGUCUCCACUUGCCCACCAGUCCCUGUUUUCACAAUAGAUUUCCCUUCCUCACAACCCCCUGAAUCCUCCUAUUAAGAGGAGGAUAUGGUGGUUCAUGUGAGGUCAACCAUGAGGAGGUUUGGAAGGGAAUUGUGGGGGCCUGCUAUGUAGCAGGAUUGGGCCCUACAAUAUAUCGCCUGGGACAUUGAGCAGCUGGCACCAGACAGGUAUCUUGAGAGCAAGGUUUUGUAACUAAAAGAGCAGGAGGUGACCUACCUAAACUAUAUGCAUAGGGGGAGCAGAGGGAAAGCAAAGCAUGGACAGCCAAAACAAAAACAUCAACAGACUGUGCAGAGUGUGUGAAAAAAGAACCACACCUGAUGGAACAACAGAAACUAUAUGGGCAACCCAUUGAUGAAGCUGCGGACCAACAUUUGUCGUUUUUGUGGCUGGGGAAGAACAGCAUUUUAAAUGUAUUUUUCAAUUGAUAAGGCCGGGAAGAACAGCAUUUAAAAUGUAUUUCUCAAUUGAUGAGGCUGGGUAUGAACAGCAUUUUUUGUUGUUGUCAUAUGCAAGUGUCUUUUCGAGCAGUUAGA